rnacentral:rRNA from 1 species
CCUACGGGUGGCAGCAGUGGGGGAUAUUGCACAAUGGGGGAAACCCUGAUGCAGCGACGCCGCGUGGGUGAAGAAGUAUUUCGGUAUGUUAAGCCCUAUCAGCCGGGAAGAAGAAAUGACGGUACCUGAGUAAGAAGCACCGGCUAAAUAAGUGCCAGCAGCCGCGGUAAUACGUAUGGUGCAAGCGUUAUCCGGAUUUACUGGGUGUAAAGGGAGGGCAGGGGGCCAGGCAAGCCUGAUGUGAAAGCCCGCGGCCCAACGGCGGGACUGCAUUGGGAACUACCGGGAUGGAGUGCCGGAGAGGUAGGCGGAAUUCCUAGUGUAGCGGUGAAAUGCGUAGAUAUUAGGAGGAACACCAGUGGCGAAGGCGGCCUACUGGACGGUGACUGACGCUGAGGCCCGAAAGCGUGGGGAGCAAACAGGAUUAGAUACCCUGGUAGUC